GGGCCCGCACAAGCGGUGGAGUAUGUGGUUUAAUUCGAUGCAACGCGAAGAACCUUACCAGGGUUUGACAUCCUGCGAAUCUCUUGGAAACAGGAGAGUGCCUCGGACUGGACAGUGACAGGUGGUGCAUGGCUGUCGUCAGCUCGUGUCGUGAGAUGUUGGGUUAAGUCCCGCAACGAGCGCAACCCACGUCUUUAGUUGCCAGCAUUUAGUUGGGCACUCUAGAGAGACUGCCGGUGUUAAGCCGGAGGAAGGCGGGGAUGACGUCAAGUCCUCAUGGCUCUUACGGCCCAGGGCUACAGCACGUACUACAAUGGCAGAAACAGACGGCUGCGAAACCGCGAGGUC
rnacentral:rRNA from 1 species